rnacentral:ncRNA from 1 species
AAACAGAUGAAAGAAUAAAAGUAUAUAAAUACACCUGAGGACAAGUCUGGUGCCAGCAGCCGCGGUAAUUCCAGCUCCGG